rnacentral:rRNA from 1 species
UACGAAGGGGGCUAGCGUUGCUCGGAUUGACUGGGCGUAAAGGGCGCGUAGGCGGUUCGUACAGUCAGACGUGAAAUUCCUGGGCUCAACCUGGGGGCUGCGUUUGAUACGUGCGGACUUGAGUGCGGAAGAGGGUCGUGGAAUUCCCAGUGUAGAGGUGAAAUUCGUAGAUAUCGGGAGGAACACCGGUGGCGAAGGCGGCGACCUGGGUCGAUACUGACGCUGAGGUGCGAAAGCGUGGGGAGCAAACAGG